UUAAAUAGCCAUCGAAAUAGAAACCUUGUAACCUGGUCAGGACAGAAAUGAAGCAGCCACAUCGAGAAGUGCUAUGUUCGGUGGUUUUUUAUUUAUU
rnacentral:SRP_RNA from 1 species